rnacentral:rRNA from 1 species
UACGUAGGGUCCGAGCGUUGUCCGGAAUUACUGGGCGUAAAGAGCUCGUAGGUGGUUUGUCGCGUUGUUCGUGAAAACUCACAGCUCAACUGUGGGCGUGCGGGCGAUACGGGCAGACUGGAGUACUGCAGGGGAGACUGGAAUUCCUGGUGUAGCGGUGGAAUGCGCAGAUAUCAGGAGGAACACCGGUGGCGAAGGCGGUUCUCUGGGCAUGACCUGACGCUGAGGAGCGAAAGUGUGGGGAGCGAACAGG